GAUGAACGCUGGCGGCGUGCCUAAUACAUGCAAGUCGAGCGAACGGACGAGAAGCUUGCUUUUCUGAUGUUAGCGGCGGACGGGUGAGUAACACGUGGAUAACCUACCUAUAAGACUGGGUUAACUUCGGGAAACCGGAGCUAAUAUCGGAUAAUAUUUUGAACCGCAUGGUUCAAAAUUGAAAGACGUUCUUGCUUUCACUUUUAGAUGGUUCCGCGCUGCAUUAGCUAGUUGGUAAGGUAACGGCUUACCAAGGCAACGAUGCAUAGCCGACCUGAGAGGGUGAUCGGCCACACUGGAACUGAGACACGGUCCAGACUCCUACGGGAGGCAGCAGUAGGGAAUCUUCCGCAAUGGGCGAAAGCCUGACGGAGCAACGCCGCGUGAGUGAUGAAGGUCUUCGGAUCGUAAAACUCUGUUAUUAGGGAAGAACAUAUGUGUAAGUAACUGUGCACAUCUUGACGGUACCUAAUCAGAAAGCCACGGCUAACUACGUG
rnacentral:rRNA from 1 species